AGAAUCAACGCUGGCGGCGUGCCUAACACAUGCAAGUCGAACGCGGUUACCCGCAAGGGGUAACUGAGUGGCAAACGGGUGAGUAACGCGUGGGUGACCUACCUUCGAGUGGGGGAUAACGUUUCGAAAGGAACGCUAAUACCGCAUGACAUCCUGCCUUUGGACAGGCGGAGAUCAAAGCCGGGGAUCGUAAGACCUGGCGCUUGGAGAGGGGCCCGCGUCCGAUUAGCUAGUUGGUGAGGUAACGGCUCACCAAGGCGACGAU
rnacentral:rRNA from 1 species